rnacentral:rRNA from 1 species
UACGAAGGGGGCUAGCGUUGCUCGGAAUUACUGGGCGUAAAGCGCACGUAGGCGGAUUGUUAAGUCGGGGGUGAAAUCCUGGAGCUCAACUCCAGAACUGCCUUCGAUACUGGCGAUCUAGAGUCCGGGAGAGGUGAGUGGAACUGCGAGUGUAGAGGUGAAAUUCGUAGAUAUUCGCAAGAACACCAGUGGCGAAGGCGGCUCACUGGCCCGGUACUGACGCUGAGGGUGCGAAAAGCGUGGGGAGCAAACAGGG